CGAUGAAGGGGGAGCUUGCUCCUCCGGAUUAGUGGCGAACGGGUGAGUAAUACGUGAGCAAUGUGCCCUUGACUCUGGGAUAAGCGCUGGAAACGGCGUCUAAUACCGGAUACGACCAUCGGAGGCAUCUCCUGGUGGUGGAAAGAACUUCGGUCAAGGAUCAGCUCACGGCCUAUCAGCUUGUUGGUGAGGUAACGGCUCACCAAGGCGACGACGGGUAGCCGGCCUGAGAGGGUGACCGGCCACACUGGGACUGAGACACGGCCCAGACUCCUACGGGAGGCAGCAGUGGGGAAUAUUGCACAAUGGGCGCAAGCCUGAUGCAGCAACGCCGCGUGAGGGACGAAGGCCUUCGGGUUGUAAACCUCUUUUAGCAGGGAAGAAGCGAGAGUGACGGUACCUGCAGAAAAAGCACCGGCUAACUACGUGCCAGCAGCCGCGGUAAUACGUAGGGUGCAAGCGUUGUCCGGAAUUAUUGGGCGUAAAGAGCUCGUAGGCGGUCUGUCGCGUCUGCUGUGAAAACCCGAGGCUCAACCUCGGGCUUGCAGUGGGUACGGGCAGACUAGAGUGCGGUAGGGGAGAUUGGAAUUCCUGGUGUAGCGGUGGAAUGCGCAGAUAUCAGGAGGAACACCGAUGGCGAAGGCAGAUCUCUGGGCCGUAACUGACGCUGAGGAGCGAAAGCAUGGGGAGCAAACAGGCUUAGAUACCCUGGUAGUCCAUGCCGUAAACGUUGGGAACUAGAUGUGGGGACCAUUCCACGGUCUCCGUGUCGUAGCUAACGCAUUAAGUUCCCCGCCUGGGGAGUAC
rnacentral:rRNA from 1 species